UAGUGCUUACAGCUCUUUUUAAAUUUGUCUAGUAGGUUUUCUGGUUCUCACCAGGAGCCGCGCCCCC
rnacentral:snRNA from 1 species